rnacentral:rRNA from 1 species
AGCAAUCUGCCCUUGACUCUGGGAUAAGCGUUGGAAACGACGUCUAAUACCGGAUAUGAGCUGUGACCGCAUGGUCAACAGUUGGAAAGAACUUCGGUCAAGGAUGAGCUCGCGGCCUAUCAGCUUGUUGGUGAGGUAAUGGGCUCACCAAGGCGUCGACGGGUAGCCGGCCUGAGAGGGUGACCGGCCACACUGGGACUGAGACACGGCCCAG